UAAAAAUGUUGAUGCAUCUUUAUGCCAU
rnacentral:piRNA from 1 species